rnacentral:rRNA from 1 species
GUCGAGCGACGAAUUGAGGUACUUGUACCAAGAUGAAGAGCGGCGAACGGGUGAGUAACGCGUGGGAAAUCUGCCGAGUAGCGGGGGACAACGUUUGGAAACGAACGCUAAUACCGCAUAACAAUGAGAAUCGCAUGAUUCUGAUUUAAAAGAAGCAACUGCUUCACUACUUGAUGAUCCCGCGUUGUAUUAGCUAGUUGGUAGUGUAAAGAACUACCAAGGCGAUGAUACAUAGCCGGCCUGAGAGGGUGAACGGCCACACUGGGACCGAGACACGGCCCAGACUCCUACGGGAGGCAGCAGUAGGGAAUCUUCGGCAAUGGGGGCAACCCUGACCGAGCAACGCCGCGUGAGUGAAGAAGGUUUUCGGAUCGUAAAACUCUGUUGUUAGAGAAGAACGUUAAGUAGAGUGGAAAGUUACUUAAGUGACGGUAUCUAACCAGAAAGGGACGGCUAACUACGUGCCAGCAGCCGCGGUAAUACGUAGGUCCCGAGCGUUGUCCGGAUUUAUUGGGCGUAAAGCGAGCGCAGGUGGUUCCUUAAGUCUGAUGUAAAAGGCAGUGGCUCAACCAUUGUGUGCAUUGGAAACUGGGGAACUUGAGUGCAGGAGAGGGGAGUGGAAUUCCAUGUGUAGCGGUGAAAUGCGUAGAUAUAUGGAGGAACACCGGAGGCGAAAGCGGCUCUCUGGCCUGUAACUGACACUGAGGCUCGAAAGCGUGGGGAGCAAACAGGAUUAGAUACCCUGGUAGUCCACGCCGUAAACGAUGAGUGCUAGCUGUAGGGAGCUAUAAGUUCUCUGUAGCGCAGCUAACGCAUUAAGCACUCCGCCUGGGGAGUACGACCGCAAGGUUGAAACUCAAAGGAAUUGACGGGGGCCCGCACAAGGGGUG